ensembl:lincRNA uncharacterized LOC102007811
GCGCCGGGCACAGGACCGAGCCGGCCGAGGAGCGCCCGGCGGGCUCGGCGUGUGCGGACGGCGAUCGAUCGCGGAGGCUGGCGUUUUGAGCUGCGUCCGCUGCCCGCCGGCGGGGGCACCGAGGGUGACCUCGUCGAUCUCCCGCUCAACCCGUCCUGCCCGCCGGACUGAGGAGAGGCGCGCGUGGACUUAGAGCGGCUGAGCGAGAUUUUUGGAUUCAAGCUGUCAAAACGAGUUGAAAACGUUUCUGCAGAAGCUGAGGUUUUCAGGCGUGAUGUGACGCUCAGGUCGUGAAAAGUCUGCAUGCAGGAUGCUCCAGGGAUUAAAGGAGACCACAGCAGUAACAGACAGAAGGUGGAAACAUCCCUUGAGGUGACGUCCUGUCCUGGCGCAGCAGGGGCUCCCGGGAAGUUUCUCUUGGUGUGUGCAGGGAUGCUCGUACCCACGGCUACCCUGGUGUUGUCUGUCUUUAAAUCCACUCGUUACCGUGACAGGUUUUUAAAUAAAUUUCACGAUGACGUAAAUAAAUGAGGUUUA